AUGAACACAGGUUCAAGGUCAGAGGUGGCAGGAUGGGCGGCAUGGCUAAGUCUGCUUGGGCUCAGGAGUAAGGGCUUCCUCUUCUCCCUUUCCCUCUUCCCUCCUGCCUGUUUGCAGAGCCCACGGCCACCUAGAGUCAAAAAGAUCCCAGGGAGUGCCAUUAGACCCCCUUCUUUCUCCUUCACAGGCCCCAGUCCUUCCAGCCCUUUCUUCCACCUGGCUCCUCCCCCUCAGCCUCACUCCUCACUGGAGCCAGCGAAGCCCGACAAGCAAAUUCUCAUCCUCUGGAGAGCCUGAUUAGUAUUCGCUGGCAAAGACUGACCCUAAUGAAUGUAGCUGGUUUCCUAUUAUUGGACAUUGAGGUUGUUUCAACUUUUGGACAAUCACAAACCCGACCGGGAUGAAUACCCAAGAAGCUAAAUCCAUGCUGGGGCUGGACGCUGAGCUCCGGAGGAAUAUUUCGGGACUUCUUAAAGCACAAGGAGGCCCCCAGCCGUUGUAACUGGAAGGCUUUUUGGCAAAGGCCCAGAAGACUGGCUAAGGCCAAAGACUUCUGGAGCCGCUAGGCUUGCCCCCCUUCCCGAGGUCAGUACCCCUUUACCGGGCAACCCUGUCACAGAGUGUUCAGGCGGGCAGGGCCCCUUGAGGCCACCGGACCCACGCCCCGCACCCUCGUCUCACACGUGAGGGAACGGAGGCCCCUGGGCUGGGGAUGAUUCUUCAGCAGUUUAGCGCCCUGGCUCCUGGCCUGGGGGUGCUGAGCUCUGAGACUUGGAAUCUGACCUCCAAGCCCUGAAACGCUGCCUGCACUCCUUUACCAGACCACUCGCCGCUGAGGCCCAAGGUGAGGUGCAGGCCCUUCUGCAAAGGAACCGACCCAUAAAGCAGAGGGCGUGGAAGGAAGGCUUGAGGGUCGCCCCACAGGCAGCUGGACCUGCUCCACCCAGAACCUCCUAUUUUCCUGACCCGGGUGGCAUGCUUCAUGGCAGUCACCCUCCAGUGGGCCCACUUGGCACAUCUCUUGGGGGUUUUGAAAUGAAAAAACGUGUGAGUCCCUCACUUGCCUGAGCCAGGUCAGCUGUCCCUUUUUGCUGGGAACUGGUUUUGCCAAAGGCCUGUCUCUCCAGCCCUCUGUGCCUGACAGUUCUCUGUGGUUUUGGGUGCUAAUGAGCUUGCCUCCUUCCCCCCUCCAGCCUUGCUACUGCCUGGGGAAUUUGCACAAAUGGUGUGUGAUUUGCCCCUUCUGUGUUUUCCUUUCUGACUUGGAGGUAAAGAAAACCCCUCACCCCCCACCGAC
rnacentral:lncRNA from 1 species